AACGAACGCUGGCGGCGUGGAUAAGACAUGCAAGUCGAACGGGCCCCGAAGUUCCCGCAAGGGAGUUUCGGGGUUAGUGGCGAACGGGUGCGUAACACGUGGGCAAUCUGCCGAGAAGUGGGGGAUAGCUCGCCGAAAGGCGAAUUAAUACCGCAUGUGAUUAGCUAAGACAUCUUAGCGACAUCAAAGGUGGCGCAAGCUACCGCUUUUUGAGGAGCCCGCGGCCUAUCAGCUAGNGGUGAGGUAACGGCUCCCCAAGGCGAUGACGGGUAGCUGGUCUGAGAGGACGACCAGUCACACUGGAACUGAGACACGGUCCAGACACCUACGGGUGGCAGCAGUCGAGAAUUUUUCUCAAUGGGGGAAACCCUGAAGGAGCGACGCCGCGUGGAGGAUGAAGGC
rnacentral:rRNA from 1 species